rnacentral:lncRNA from 1 species
UUCCCGUCUCCCUCCACACCUUGCCUCCUCCAGGCCCAACCCCAUUCCACCAGCACCCCGCCCCAGGCGCACUGGCUAGGACUGGAAGGCAAGGACUAAGGUGAAAGCUGACUGCCCGCACCGCCCCAGGCGCACUGGGUAGGACUGAAAGGCAGGGACUAAGGUGACAGCUGACUCUGCCGGGGCGGAGUGCGUGUCCUCCCACCGUGCUGGCGCUGAACUGACUGUCCGCUGCCAAGGGAAGUGACAGCCGCAGCCGGGCUCUCAGCCAGCGGCCAGGCGCCCCGCGGACCAUGCUCUCCAGUACGCAGAACGCGGGCGGCUCCUAUCAGCGGGUCCGCGGGGCGCUUGAUACACAGAAAUGCAGUCCAGAGAAAAGUGCCUCAUUUUUCAGUAAAGUGACAUAUUCCUGGUUUAGCAGAGUAAUUACUUUAGGCUAUAAGAGACCUUUGGAAAGAGAGGAUCUUUUUGAACUAAAGGAAAGUGAUUCCUUCUGCACUGCGUGUCCCAUCUUUGAAAAACAAUGGAGAAAGGAAGUUUUAAGGAAUCAAGAGAGGCAAAAAGUAAAGGUAUCUUGUUAUAAAGAGGCACAUAUCAAGAAACCAUCUCUACUCUAUGCAUUGUGGAACACCUUUAAAUCCAUCCUGAUUCAAGUUGCCUUAUUCAAAGUGUUUGCUGAUAUUUUGUCCUUCACUAGCCCACUCAUAAUGAAGCAAAUUAUCAUUUUCUGUGAACACAGCUCAGAUUUUGGCUGGAAUGGCUAUGGCUAUGCAGUGGCACUUCUUGUUGUAGUCUUUUUGCAAACUCUGAUUCUUCAGCAAUAUCAACGUUUUAACAUGCUCACCUCAGCAAAAGUUAAGACAGCUGUAAAUGGACUGAUCUACAAAAAGGUGUCCCUGGCAACCUUGUGUGUCUAUUUCUUACUGGAUGAAGGAAACAUUUUAACAGCCACUAAAGUGUUCACAUCGAUGUCUUUGUUUAAUAUUUUAAGGAUUCCUCUGUUUGAGUUACCAACCGUGAUCUCAGCUGUGGUCCAGACAAAGAUAUCCCUGGGCCGUUUGGAAGACUUUCUCAACACUGAGGAGCUUCUUCCUCAAAGUAUUGAAACGAACUAUACAGGAGAUCAUGCUAUUGGGUUUACAGAUGCUUCUUUCUCCUGGGAUAAAACAGGAAUGCCAGUUCUAAAAGAGGCUCUGUGGCUUAUGUUUCUCAGCAGGCCUGGAUUCAGAAUUGCAUUUUGCAAGAAAACAUUCUCUUUGGCUCCAUCAUGAAGAAAGAGUUUUAUGAGCAAGUAUUGGAAGCCUGUGCUCUCCUUCCAGAUUUGGAGCAGUUGCCAAAGGGAGAUCAAACUGAGAUUGGAGAAAGAGUAAGGAAACUGCUGUGAAUAUAAGUGGGGGCCAGCAGCAUCGAGUAAGCCUGGCCAGAGCUGUCUACAGUGGGGCCGACGUCUACCUCCUGGAUGAUCCCUUGUCUGCUAUUGAUGUUCAUGUUGGAAAGCAGCUUUUUGAAAAAGUGAUAGGGUCCUUGGGCCUUUUGAAAAACCGGGUAGCCAUAGUUUCAUUUAUGCUUUCUUGUGGGGCAGGGGAUAUAUCUAGCACUGUGCCUAAAAUUCCAUUUAUUUUGUUUAUUUGUUGAAGCAAAGUAGUCACAUUUCACAUGAAAAAAAUGGGAUGCUCAGAUUGCAAUUUCACAGGCAAAUGUCAAUGGGUAAUUUUUGAAGUUUUACUUACAAGUUUACUCUGGUGACAAUUUAUGUGAUUGUUAUCUCUUCAUCUAAUACCAUAUCCUAAGGGGAUGUAUGUGCCAUAAUGAAUUGUUGUUGACUCAAGUGAUUUUUACAAUGGUAUUUUGGUGCACACCAAAAUAUUAAUAAAAUUUUAUAUUAUUAACAUAGCAAUUUGACAUUAUUAUCACAGCAAUCAUAGUGAUUCAGCUGUUUUGUUAAAGGGCCAAGAAGAUGAAAAUUAGUGUUUACCAGUACAUGCCAUAUUUCACAGGGUAAAUUAGUUCAAUCCCUAUUUCACACAUAAAGGAGCUCAGGGCUCACAAUGACUUGAUAUAGGUUGCUCAACUUAAGAACAAUAGAGAUUUUUAAAAGUAUGUCUGACUCCAAAGCCACAUUCUUCAUAAUAUGUGUUUAUGGAAUUAUUAAUAUAGAGAACUUUGAAAAUAUAUGUAUAAAAUUAUAAAAUAUAUGUCUCAGUAAAAAUAAACAAACAUCUUUAUAUAUUGACAUAAACCCAAGAUUAAAAAUGUCACACUUAAUUGUAUGUAUAUGUAUAAAAUAAUAUGAAUGAUUUAAAAAUAAGGACUAUGAAUUAUGACUUGGAUUAAACACUUUUUUGUAAUGGUACUGUAUAUUUAAAAAUAAGCAAGAAUGACAUAUAUGAAAUUGUUUUAAAUUUGCAAUUAAAUUGAUUCAUUUCUAAUGAACGAAAAAAUACCCGAACUAAAGUGUUAAAAAUCACAUUUAGAAACUAUUUUCUCAUCUAGCAGCAUGUCAUUAUUCCUUGUAAAAUACAUAGAUGCUGCCUUAAACUGGCACCUACCAAAAAUCAUACUCUGAAAUAGUAAAGGAAAAAAGUCAUUGUAGCUUUUUUUAAAAAGCCAUUUUUCGUAAUCUCUGAGAUAAAACACUUUGUUUUUCAGACUCAUAUUUUAGUGACACACAAUCUCACACUUCUGCCACAAAUGAAUCUUAUUGUUGUAAUGAAAAGUGGCAGAAUAGCUCAAAUGGGAAUAUACCAGGAGCUGCUGUGUAAAACCAAAAAUCUCACUAAUUUGCACCAAGUCAUCAGUGAACAAGAAAAAGCUCAUGCUCUAAAGCAAGUCAGUGCAAUCAACUCCAGAACUAGACCAAAAGACAAAAUCCUGGAGCAAAAACAUAGUGGGAUAUGAGUCCCCUUCUGAGAGUCAUGCAAGGAUUUCUAGGCACUGUUAAGAACCCACGUAGAAAGAAGAUGUUAAGUGACGGUAGAACCAGUUUUCAGGGUUGCCUGAUUUUUUGAAGCAGCACUUCACAGAAGUCGAGGUGACCAGGAUUGACAUGCAAGUUCUAAGAGACAGGCCCUCAUUGGAUCAAGGAAAACAGCUCUCAAUGAAAAAAGAAAAGAUCCCUGUUGGUGGGUUGAAGUUCUCCAUCAUUCUGCAGUACCUCCAAGCCUUUGGCUGGCUCUGGGUGUGGCUGACUGUGGUCACUUACUUAGGGCAGAAUUUGGUGAGCAUUGGACAGAAUCUAUGGCUUAGUGCAUGGGCAAAAGAAGCAAAAAACAUGAAUGAGUUCACAGAAUGGAAGCAAAUAAGAAGCAAUAAACUUAACAUCUAUGGAUUAUUGGGAUUAAUAAAAGGUAAAAGAAAAUGUAAA